GACGAACGCUGGCGGCGUGCUUAACACAUGCAAGUCGAACGGAAAGGCCCUGCUUUUGUGGGGUGCUCGAGUGGCGAACGGGUGAGUAACACGUGAGUAACCUGCCCUUGACUUUGGGAUAACUUCAGGAAACUGGGGCUAAUACCGGAUAGGAGCUCCUGCUGCAUGGUGGGGGUUGGAAAGUUUCGGCGGUUGGGGAUGGACUCGCGGCUUAUCAGCUUGUUGGUGGGGUAGUGGCUUACCAAGGCUUGGACGGGUAGCCGGCCUGAGAGGGUGACCGGCCGCAUUGGGACUGAGAUACGGCCCAGACUCCUACGGGAGGCAGCAGUGGGGAAUAUUGCACAAUGGGCGGAAGCCUGAUGCAGCAACGCCGCGUGCGGGAUGACGGCCUUCGGGUUGUAAACCGCUUUCGCCUGUGACGAAGCGUGAGUGACGGUAAUGGGUAAAGAAGCACCGGCUAACUACGUG
rnacentral:rRNA from 1 species